GAUCAUCACCUUUAACCUUGCUUUGUAAUCACAUUAUUCUCCUGCUUAAAACAGUUGAGUGACUUACCUUAUCCUGCAGGAUGAAGGCCAACCUCCUUGAUGUGUUUCCAAGGCCAUCCACCUUCCUCCUCUGGCCUUACCAUUGGUCAGGGUCCAGAGGGCUCCCAACAUGGAGGAGGACGACCUAAGCCCACACUGCCCUCAGAAUGAACGAAAGCUGAAGUCCAGCUCUGGCACUCAGAGAUCUGGGGACAUUCUGUUCCUGCUGCUACCUUCUCACUG